rnacentral:rRNA from 1 species
AGAGUUUGAUCCUGGCUCAKAAUAAACGCUGGCGGCGUGCCUAACACAUGCAAGUCGAACGAGAAAGCCUGUUUUCGGACGGGCGAGUAAAGUGGCGUACGGGUGAGUAACGCGUAGGUAACCUGCCCCCUUGUCUGGGAUAACAGUGCGAAAGCGCUGCUAAUACCGGAUACGGCCGUAAGGCGAUGGCUUUAUGGUCAAAGUCGGCCUCUCAUUGAAGCCGGCGCAUGGGGAUGGGCCUGCGUCCUAUCAGCUUGUUGGUAGGGUAACGGCCUACCAAGGCUCCGACGGGUAGCUGGUCUGAGAGGAUGAUCAGCCACACUGGCACUGAAACACGGGCCAGACUCCUACGGGAGGCAGCAGUGAGGAAUUUUGCGCAAUGGCCGCAAGGCUGACGCAGCAACGCCGCGUGGGUGAAGAAGGCCUUCGGGUCGUAAAGCCCUGUCAGGUGGGAAGAAUGUCCCUGAGACCAAUAAGCUUGGGGAGUGACGGUACCACCAGAGGAAGCACCGGCUAACUCCGUGCCAGCAGCCGCGGUAAUACGGAGGGUGCAAGCGUUAUUCGGAAUUACUGGGCGUAAAGCGCGUGCAGGCGGGCGAGCAAGUCUGAUGUGAAAGCCCCGGGCUCAACCUGGKAAGUGCAUUGGAAACUGCUCGUCUUGAGUGUUGGAGAGGAAGGGGGAAUUCCCGGUGUAGAGGUGAAAUUCGUAGAGAUCGGGAGGAAUACCAGUGGCGAAGGCGCCCUUCUGGACGACAACUGACGCUGAGACGCGAAAGCGUGGGGAGCAAACAGGAUUAGAUACCCUGGUAGUCCACGCUGUAAACGAUGAGCACUAGGUGUAGCGGGUACUCAUUCCUGCUGUGCCGCAGCUAACGCGUUAAGUGCUCCGCCUGGGGAUUACGGUCGCAAGACUAAAACUCAAAGGAAUUGACGG